UUCUUCUUCUUCUGUUUCCAAUCUCAUAUGCGACCAAAACCAUUUUGGGUUACAUAAGGCUUACAGCAAUUGAGCUGUUUGCUAUAGAAAGCUAGAGGCAACGCAAGGAGGUCUGAAGGAUGCAAAGAAGUGCAUAGAGCUUCAUCCAAAUUCAUGAAGGGGUACACCUAAAAAGGGCAUGUUGGUGGAAUCAUCAUCAAAGCCAAGUAUAUCAUCACUUUCAAGUUCCAACUUUGAAUGUGGCUCCAUUUUCUGUUACCAUGAAUAAUUGGUUCCAGAGUGGUGGUAUUCUUUUUGAAGGUGCCCAAGUUUUCAUUUCAUCAUUUUUGGCUUUGUUUUGAUUAACGGGUAUUUUGAGGGGAAAAUGGAGGAUGCAGAGAAGAUCUUGGUGGAGAAAUCUAAUCGAAACUGAGCACCAAUCGAUCAUUGACGCUACAUCGGAUUAUGUUGGUGGAGAUCGUCUACAGCUAAGACCGAAUGCCCACUAGAGCAUUAGCUUGACCUCCGACCAGAAAAUCGGCACGAAAGCCCUGUAAGUUCAUCAUCGGCUCUCCACCUCCUCCAAUCCGACUAGGGUUAUAUUUUCAUCUAGGGUUCUAAUUCAAUGAUCAAAGAAAAAUCUUGAUGCCCCUGUAUGAUCUGUUGUAUUAUUGUUUAAAAUCUUUUUUACUACUAUUGAUAGGUUUAUGUUUUAAACAACCAAUCCAUCCGGUUAAAUUCUUAUAUGUGGUUCUCUUUUAAGAAGCAUCUGGUAGAAUAUAUAGAAAGGAAAAACAUUUCCAACUGAAUUUAUUUUGUGUAUCAAUCGACAAUGUAAACUACAUAUAGUUUGAAAUGGCUACGUAUAAUAAGUAAAUGGUUGCGAGGUUGUGUUUAUCCGU